rnacentral:rRNA from 1 species
GAAAUUACGCCUUCCAUGAAGCCGGAAUUGCUAGUAAUGGCAGGUCAGCAUACUGCCGUGAAUACGUUCCCGGGCCUUGUACACACCGCCCGUCACACCAUGAGAGUUGGGAAUACCCGAAGCCUGUGAGCUAACAUUAAGAGGCAGCAGUCGAAGGUAGAACUAAUGAUUGGGGUGAAGUCGUAACAAGGUACC